rnacentral:rRNA from 1 species
GGGCCCGCACAAGCAGCGGAGCAUGUGGUUUAAUUCGAAGCAACGCGAAGAACCUUACCUAGACUUGACAUCUCCUGAAUUACUCUGUAAUGGAGGAAGCCUUUCGGGGCAGGAAGACAGGUGGUGCAUGGUUGUCGUCAGCUCGUGUCGUGAGAUGUUGGGUUAAGUCCCGCAACGAGCGCAACCCUUAUUGUUAGUUGCUACCAUUAAGUUGAGCACUCUAGCGAGACUGCCGUGGUUAACGCGGAGGAAGGUGGGGAUGACGUCAAAUCAUCAUGCCCCUUAUGUCUAGGGCUACACACGUGCUACAAUGGUCGGUACAGUAAGAUGCAAUACCGUGAGGUGGAGCAAAACUCAAAAACCGAUCUCAGUUCGGAUUGUAGGCUGAAACUCGCCUACAUGAAGCUGGAGUUGCUAGUAAUCGCGAAUCAGAAUGUCGCGGUGAAUACGUUCCCGGGCCUU